UGGGGAAUAUUGGACAAUGGGCGAAAGCCUGAUCCAGCCAUGCGCGUGAGUGAUGAAGGCCCUAGGGUUGUAAAGCUCUUCACCGGUGAAGAUAAUGACGGUAACCGGAGAAGAAGCCCCGGCUAACUUCGUGCCAGCAGCCGCGGUAAUACGUAGGGUGCAAGCGUUGUCCGGAAUUAUUGGGCGUAAAGAGCUCGUAGGCGGUCUGUCGCGUCGGCUGUGAAAAUCUCGGGGCUCAACUCCGAGCUUGCAGUCGAUACGGGCAGGCUAGAGUUCGGCAGGGGAGACUGGAAUUCCUGGUGUAGCGGUGAAAUGCGCAGAUAUCAGGAGGAACACCAGUGGCGAAGGCGGCUUACUGGACGGUAACUGACGUUGAGGCUCGAAAGCGUGGGGAGCAAACAGGAUUAGAUACCC
rnacentral:rRNA from 1 species